GAAAAUAAAUUUGGACCAUUUAUCGUGAUUUGAUCUCGAUCUUCUGAUCGCGUUUAAAGAGAAAAUAAAUCUGAACCAUUCAUCGUGUUUAAUCGUGAUCGACCGAUCAUACCUGAGGAGGGAACGGAUACGGACCGUCCACACGCACGGUAAUGCUUCUAGGUCGUCCGAUCGCAGUGCACGCAGAUCGCCCGUGUGGUCUCCUAAGUGGCACCGAGUCAGCGUAUCUUGCCAUGCGGCGCUCUCCGAUUCGUCGAGACUGCUGACUGG
rnacentral:lncRNA from 1 species